GGGCGUAAAGAGCUUGUAGGUGGCUUGUCGCGUCUGCCGUGAAAACCCGAGGCUCAACCUCGGGCGUGCGGUGGGUACGGGCAGGCUAGAGUGUGGUAGGGGAGACUGGAACUCCUGGUGUAGCGGUGAAAUGCGCAGAUAUCAGGAAGAACACCGAUGGCGAAGGCAGGUCUCUGGGCCAUUACUGACACUGAGAAGCGAAAGCAUGGGUAGCGAACAGGAUUAGAUACCCUGGUAGUCCAUGCCGUAAACGUUGGGCACUAGGUGUGGGGGACAUUCCACGUUUUCCGCGCCGUAGCUAACGCAUUAAGUGCCCCGCCUGGGGAGUACGGCCGCAAGGCUAAAACUCAAAGGAAUUGACGGGGGCCCGCACAAGCGGCGGAGCAUGCUGAUUAAUUCGAUGCAACGCGAAGAACCUUACCAAGGCUUGACAUGCACUGGACGGCUGCAGAGAUGUGGCUUUCUUUGGACUGGUGCACAGGUGGUGCAUGGUUGUCGUCAGCUCGUGUCGUGAGAUGUUGGGUUAAGUCCAGCAACGAGCGCAACCCUUGUUCUAUGUUGCCAGCACGUGAUGGUGGGGACUCAUAGGAGACUGCCGGGGUCAACUCGGAGGAAGGUGGGGACGACGUCAAAUCAUCAUGCCCCUUAUGUCUUGGGCUUCAAGCAUGCUACAAUGGUCGGUACAAUGGGUUGCGAAACUGUGAGGUGGAGCGAAUCCCAAAAAGCCGGCCUCAGUUCGGAUUGGGGUCUGCAACUCGACCCCAUGAAGUCGGAGUCGCUAGUAAUCGCAGAUCAGCAACGCUGCGGUGAUACGUUCCCGGGCCUUGUACUCACCGCCCG
rnacentral:rRNA from 1 species